rnacentral:rRNA from 15 species
GCGACGGACUGCCUUGGCACUUCCGCAAGGGCUGCAGGCUCUUCGCCUCCUGGGGCUGGAGCACGGGAGCACCGGACAGGGUCAAGUUCCGCCACGUGGAGUGCCCGGCGGCCUUCGUGAAGCACGUGGGGUCCCUGUUCAGCGCGAGCG